GUCAGCAGCCAUACCACCAGCAGCUCAAACUAAGUUAUCCAUAUGAAACUAAGCAGGUUUGGGUCUCGGCAGAACUUGGAUGAGAGGCCAACUAUGAAAGCUGGGUUGCUGCUGGAA
rnacentral:rRNA from 1 species